AUUGAACGCUGGCGGCAGGCCUAACACAUGCAAGUCGAACGGUAGCACAGAGAGCUUGCUCUCGGGUGACGAGUGGCGGACGGGUGAGUAAUGACUGGGAAACUGCCCGAAGGAGGGGGAUAACUACUGGAAAGGGUAGAUAAGACCGCAUAACGUCGCAAGACCAAAGUGGGGGACCUUCGGGCCUCACACCAUCGGACCGUCCCGGAUGGGAUUAGCUAGUAGGUGGGGUAAUGGCUCACCUAGGCGACGAUCCCUAGCUGGUCUGAGAGGAUGACCAGCCACACUGGAACUGAGGCACGGUCCAGACUCCGACGGGAGGCAGCAGUGGGGAAUAUUGCACAAUGGGCGCAAGCACGAUGCAGCCAUGCCGCGUGUAUGAAGAAGGCCUUCGGGUUGUAAAGUACUUUCAGCGGGGAGGAAGGCGGUGAAGUUAAUAACUUCACCGAUUGACGUUACCCGCAGAAGAAGCACCGGCUAACUCCGUGCCAGCAGCCGCAGUAA
rnacentral:rRNA from 1 species